CAUCACAGUGGCAUACAGGGAGGGACCGUCAGCCCGACCCACCCAGCUGGGACCAGGGCUUCCGCGUCCUGCAAGCCCAGGGCCACACGGGCCCACCCCAAAGUCCGUGCUGCUAAGGAGCCUGCGGUUCCUUGGGUGGUUCUCAAACUUGAGCUGCUUGGAACCCAGGGGUACACCGGUCGGGCCUGGUUCCUGACCCAGCGAAGGUCUGAGGGCGGGGGCUGGGCUUCCUACCGCCUCCAGGGGGCGCUCUGAGGCAGGUCCUCUUCAGUACCACCGAGUGCUGUAACUCAGUCCGUGCUAACCUGAGCUAGCGCUGAUCUAAUGAAUCAGCAUCUCCCAACACACCUGUGCGUUAGGGUGCAGCGAGCACCGUCAGGACGCCAGGAGCACCUGGCAAUGUUUUCUAAAAAGGACACCUCAGGAGUGUGUGCAAUCACUCUGUGGACAGGUUCUGGAUUGCCUCUGCAGCCCCUGCUGUCUGAGCCUUUGCAGCCCAGCCAAAGGGAAACCGAGGCACAGAGCUGUUGUCCAAGGUCGCAGUGCUGCUAAGGACCCGAUGUGGGCCGUCCCUGGUGUCCCACACUCGGCAUGUCUCUCAGCACACCAGGCCACCCCAGGUCCCUUUGAUCCUCUGCUCUCUGGGGUCCCCUGGCCUCUUGGCUCCACACGCACGCUGUUGGGAAGAUGUUUCUGUUGUUCAUAAAUGAGAGCACGGAUUGCCCAACUUUGCGCCGAGGAAGGGUAAGCAGCGCAGGGCACAGAGGCGGAAUCGGGAACUGGGUGACGGAAGGCCUCGUGAGGUUUCAUCAUCCCGGGAUCAAGGCUCACAUUCGCCCAGGCCUCACUCAUGCCAAGAGCACACCUUACAGGCUGGAAACCAAGGCCCCCGAGGUCACGGGGUGCACGCACCUGGGGAGCCGGCUGACUCAGGUGGUCUUGCUCCAGGGCGGUGUGAC